rnacentral:rRNA from 1 species
CCUACGGGUGGCUGCAGUGGGGAAUAUUGGACAAUGGGGGCAACCCUGAUCCAGCCAUGCCGCGUGUGUGAAGAAGGCCCUCGGGUUGUAAAGCACUUUCAGUGAGGAAGAACGCCUGGUGGUUAAUACCCAUCAGGAAAGACAUCACUCACAGAAGAAGCACCGGCUAACUCCGUGCCAGCGGCCGCGGUAAUACGGAGGGUGCGAGCGUUAAUCGGAAUUACUGGGCGUAAAGCGCGCGUAGGUGGCUUGAUAAGCCGGUUGUGAAAGCCCCGGGCUCAACCUGGGAACGGCAUCCGGAACUGUCAAGCUAGAGUGCAGGAGAGGAAGGUAGAAUUCCCGGUGUAGCGGUGAAAUGCGUAGAGAUCGGGAGGAAUACCAGUGGCGAAGGCGGCCUUCUGGACUGACACUGACACUGAGGUGCGAAAGCGUGGGUAGCAAACAGGAUUAGAUACCCCAGUAGUC